rnacentral:lncRNA from 1 species
AGCAACAGCAAGAGCCUACGAGCUUUGUACCCGAGACCCAAAAGACGACAGCACUCAACAAACAACAAGAGCCGACUUUCAUCCCAGAGACUCAAAACGGCUACGGGUUGUACGGCCAAAAGAAUAAUGAUCAGUUCCCCACCACAACCUCUGCUGCUGACGUCAAAUACGAGCCUUACACCACCCCCAUCACUAGCACCCCCACCGGAACCUUCGAACCUUACACUACUCCGACCACCUCCGCCGCCGUGCAAUACGAACCCUACACAACCCCCAUUACCAGCACCCCCACCGGAACUUUUGAACCCUACAAAACUCCCACCACCAGCUACAACAACCCUAACAAGUACAACUUCAAUAACAACAGAUACUAUUACAACAACAACGGUUUUCAGACAGAGCAAGAGAGGUUGGGUGACUCGAAAUUCCAAGAAAGUGGCUACAGAAGCAACCAGAACAGUUACAACAACAAUAAUGCUGAGAAGAAAGGGAUGAGUGACACGAGGUUUUUGGAGAAUGGCAAGUACUAUUACGACGUCAACAACGAGAAAAAUUACAAUCCAAAUCAGUACCAGCAGCAGCAGAAUUCGAGGGGUUACUACAAUGAGAACACUUACGAGUACAAUAACAACAACUUCCAGAAUGAAGAGAACGAGUU